CUCUGAAGCUUCCAGUUCUCGGUGCUUUAUCUCUCUGUAAUGAAUGCAGGAAAAUAUGAUUAUGAAGAUGUAACUAACUACACGUCCUAUUGAAGGAAAAUUGUCAUUUCCCCUGGGCAAAGGUGAAGGAUCAAGUUGUACCUGAGUAUCUACUCGCCCCUCUGACUUGGUGAUCAAUGUAUACUGCUCAGGGAUUAGAACGUUACUCACCUCAUGGCUACUUUCCUGUGUUCCUGAACUCAGAGGAAGACACAUGCAACGGAGAAGAAGCACAUAUCCACAUUAGAAGAUUAAUAUGUAAAUCUCAAGAGAGAGGAUGAAAGGCAUGGGAAUGACUUGGUCUGGGGAAGAAAAUUAAAGCCUUGAAGUCUACCCAAGAACCAAACAGGAAAACAGCAAUAGCUAAAAGACAGGGUUUCUUAUUAGGCUAUCAGAAGGAAAAUUUUCCUUCCAAGUUAAUUCAGCUGGGUAAAUCAAACACUGUUGUCUUUUGGAGAUAUGGCAAAGGUGAGCAGCAUCUGGGUGGAUAAGAGGUCUUCUCUUGACUAUCCAAACUUACUGUAGGGGAGAUGAAAAUAAAUCCAAUAUUAAGGUUAGUCACAUGAGCUUCUUUUAUAGGAAUACCAUAGGAGAGAGAUUUGUACUGCUGCUCAGCUCCAAGGCUAGUGAAGGGCUUGAAAUUAAUUUCAAGGUAUCUGUUUUGGUGGUAAAGGAAGAUUUUGUUGAGGGCUAAGGACUAGGCCAUAUUCACUGUCACUCCUUUGAAUCAUCGAUCUAUGACGGGUAGGAAAAUCAAGUAAUGAGAAACAGCAUGGCAAGACACACCUUAUGUUCUUCACUAUCCACUAAGUGUCACAAAGCUCACCAUUUCCCUCUAGUUCUCCAACCAGGGAUUUAUACAUAUUAAAUGUACAUCUUCUUUGCUUUUCUUUUUAUUGAAAAUAGAUUUUUUUUCUCACAUAAUGGAUCCUGAUUAUAGUUUCUACUUCCCCCAGUUCCACCUCCCUUGCCCUCCCAUCUGGUUCACCCCUCUUUCUCUCUCCUAAUAGAAAACAAACAGAUUUCUAAGGGGGUAAUAACAGAAUAAGAUAUAAUGAGAUAAAAACAAAAACUAACACACUGGAAAAACACAAAACAAGCAAGCACAAGUAAAAGAGCCCAAGAGAAGGCACAAGAAUCAGAGACCCACUUUUUCUCCCACUCAGGCAUCACACAAAAGCCCUAAACUGAAAGUUAUAAUAUGUACCCAGAGAACCUGUAGAGUACAAAGAGAAAAAAAAUACAAAUAAAAUUUU
rnacentral:lncRNA from 1 species